UCAAGUAAGUAAGGGCGUACGGCGGAUGCCUUGGCCAUAUCAGCCGAAGAAGGACGCGAUAAGCUGCGAUAAGCUGCGGUGAGGUGCAAGUAACCUUUGACCCGCAGAUCUCCGAAUGGGGAAACCCGGCAGCAGUAGUGCUGUCAUCCUCUAUGAGGAAGGGCACCCGGUGAACUGAAACAUCUAAGUAGCCGGAGGAAAAGGAAUCAACAGAGAUACCCCUAGUAGCGGCGAGCGAACGGGGCAGAGCCCAAACCGGGAUGGGAAACCAAUCCGGGGUUGUGGACUGCUAUCAAAUGCAUGAGUGAAGCAGAAUGAGCUGGGAAGCUCAGCCAGAGAGAGUGAGAGCCUCGUAGGCGUAAGCGAAUGCAUGGAGCAGGAUCCGGAGUACCACGGGACACGAGAAACCCUGUGGGAAGCUGGGGGGACCACCCUCCAAGGCGAAACACUGAUAUGGACCGAUAGCGCAUAGUACCGUGAGGGAAAGGUGAAAAGAACCCCGGGAGGGGAAUGAAAGAGAACCUGAAACCGUAUGUCUACAAGCAGUCGAAGACCUUUAUAUGGUCGACGGCGUGCCUAUUGAAGAAUGAACCGGCGAGUUACUUCAGCUAGCGAGGUUAAGCAGGAAAUGCGGAGCCGCAGCGAAAGCGAGUCUGAACAGGGCGUAUAGUUAGUUGGAGUAGACCCGAAACCACAGUGAUCUACCCAUGUCCAGGUUGAAGCACAGGUAAAAAUGUGUGGAGGACCGAACCAGUGAGCGUUGAAAAGCUUUUGGAUGAGAUGUGGGUAGGGGUGAAAUGCCAAUCGAACGUGGAGAUAGCUGGUUCUCCCCGAAAUAGCUUUAGGGCUAGCCUCAUGGCGAGAGUACAGGCGGUAGAGCACUGAACGGGGUAGGGGCCUAUCCGGCUACUGAACCUAAUCAAACUGCGAAUGGCUGUACUUAUCCAUGGGAGUCAGACUGUGAGUAAUAAGGCCCAUAGUCAAGAGGGAAACAGCCCAGACCAACAGCUAAGGUCCCCAAUGCCGUACUAAGUGGCGAAGGAUGUGGAAUUUCGAAAACAACCAGGAUGUUGGCUCAGAAGCAGCCACCAUUAAAAGAGUGCGUAAUAGCUCACUGGUCGAGAGACUCUGCGCCGAAGAUGUCCGGGGCUAAAGUACGGAACCGAAGCUUUGGCAAUUAACAUAAGUUAAUUGGGUAGGGGAGCGUUCCUGCAUGGGAGAAGCCUGACCGGAAGGACAGGUGGACAGGCAGGAAGAGAGAAUGCCGGUAUGAGUAGCGAAAAGAAGGGUGAGAAUCCCUUCCACCGAAAGCCUAAGGGUUCCUGGGCAACGAUCGUCGUCCCAGGGUAAGUCGGGACCUAAUCCGAGGCGGAGACGCGUAGGAGAUGGACAACAGGUUGAAAUUCCUGUACUGGCUGAGGCCGUUUGAGCGAAGGAGUGACACAGGAAGGAAGGCGCGCGUGCGAUUGGAAGAGCACGUCCAAGCAGGUAGGUCGGGAGACAGGCAAAUCCGUUUCCCAGAAGGCCGAGAUGCGAUGGGGAGCUUCUGGAGACAGAAGCGAAGGGGCUGGCACUAAACUGUCGAGAAAAGCUUCUAGUGAGGACUCAGGCACCCGUACCGAAACCGACACAGGUAGGCAGGAUGAGAAUUCUAAGGUGCGCGGGAAAACCCUCGUUAAGGAACUCGGCAAAAUAUAUCCGUAACUUCGGGAAAAGGAUAACCCAGCGUACGUGAAGUGCAGAAGCGCAUGGAGCGGAGAUGGGUGGCAGAAGAGAGGCCCAAGCGACUGUUUACCACAAACACAGGCGUCUGCUAAAGCGAAAGCUGAUGUAUAGAUGCUGACACCUGCCCGGUGCUGGAAGGUUAAGAGGAAGUGUUAGCGCAAGCGAAGCAGUGAAUUGAAGCCCCAGUAAACGGCGGCCGUAACUAUAACGGUCCUAAGGUAGCGAAAUUCCUUGUCGGGUAAGUUCC
rnacentral:rRNA from 1 species